rnacentral:rRNA from 1 species
AAAGAUUUAUCGCCUUAAGAGGGGGGUGCGGAUCAACAGUUAGUUGGUGGGGUAAAUGCUCACCAAGACGAUGACGGAUAGCCGGCCUGAGAGGGUGAUCGGCCGCAACGGGACUGAGACACGGCCCGUACUCCUACGGGAGGCAGCAGUGAGGAAUUUUGGACAAUGGAGGAAACUCUGAUCCAGCUAUUCUGCGUGAAGGAUGAAGCUUUUCGGAGUGUAAACUUCUUUUCUGGGGGAAGACGAAUGACGGUACCUCAAGAAUAAGAGGCGGCUAACUAUGUGCCAGCAGCCGCGGUAAUACAUAGGCCUCAAAUGUUACCCGGAGUUACUGGGCGUAAAGGGUCCGUAGCCGGAUAUGUAAGUCUAUCUUCAAAAACUGAAGCUUAACUUCAGGGAGGGGGUAGAUACUGUAUAUCUAGAGAUAGAAGGGGGUUAGUGGAAUUUCCGGUGGAGCGGUGGAAUGUGUUGAUAUCGGGAAGAACGCCAAAAGUGAAGACAGCUAACUACUACUAAUCUGACGGUGAGUGACGAAAGCAUAGGUAUCAAAUAGGAUUAGAUACCCUAGUAGUCUAUGCUGUAAAUGAUGUAUGC